UACGGGGGGGGCAAGCGUUGUUCGGAAUUACUGGGCGUAAAGGGCUUGUAGGUGGCCAACUAAGUCAGACGUGAAAUCCCUCGGCUUAACCGGGGAACUGCGUCUGAUACUGGAUGGCUUGAGUGUGGGAGAGGGAUGCGGAAUUCCAGGUGUAGCGGUGAAAUGCGUAGAGAUCCGGAGGAACACCAGAGGCGAAGGCGGCCUGCUGGGCUGCACCUGACGCUGAACCGCGAAAGCCAGGGGAGCGAACGGG
rnacentral:rRNA from 1 species